rnacentral:rRNA from 1 species
GAUGAACGCUAGCUACAGGCUUAACACAUGCAAGUCGAGGGGAAACGAUAUUGGAAGCUUGCUUCCGAUGGGCGUCGACCGGCGCACGGGUGAGUAACGCGUAUCCAACCUGCCCACCACUUGGGGAUAACCUUGCGAAAGUAAGACUAAUACCCAAUGACGUCUCUAGAAGACAUCUGAAAGAGAUUAAAGAUUUAUCGGUGAUGGAUGGGGAUGCGUCUGAUUAGCUUGUUGGCGGGGUAACGGCCCACCAAGGCUACGAUCAGUAGGGGUUCUGAUAGGAAGGUCCCCCACAUUGGAACUGAGACACGGUCCAAACUCCUACGGGAGGCAGCAGUGAGGAAUAUUGGUCAAUGGGCGAGAGCCUGAACCAGCCAAGUAGCGUGCAGGAUGACGGCCCUAUGGGUUGUAAACUGCUUUUAUAAGGGAAUAAAGUGAGUCUCGUGAGACUUUUUGCAUGUACCUUAUGAAUAAGGACCGGCUAAUUCCGUGCCAGCCGCCGCGGUAA